AACAAUCUAUCUUAUUCGGAUAAAAAUGAUGUGACAGUGUGCACGUCCUUUGGUCAAUGCAGGACAGAUAGCACAAUUCGGCCCUCAGAGGGGGCCGUGAGGGGAGCUCACCAUUUUACAACCUUUUUCUCCAAAACAAACUGUCCGUGAGGCCCCUCAGCAUCUGAGGGCAAAAGGGCCAGGAACACGGGGGUCUCCGCGCCCUCCUCCGGGCU